rnacentral:lncRNA from 1 species
CUCUGUGUCUAGCUCAAGGUUUGUAAACGUACCAAUCAGCACCCUGUCAAAACGAACCAAUCAGUUCUCUGUAAAAUGGACCAAUCAGCUCUCUGUAAAAUGGACCAAUCAGCAGGAUGCGGGUGGGGUCAGAUACGGGAAGAAAAGCAGGCUGCCCAAGCUAGCGGCGGCUCUCUGCUGGAGUUCUUUUCCACGCUGUGGAAGCUUUGUUCUUUUGCUCUUUGUAAUAAAUCUUGCUGUUGCUCACCCUUUGGGGCCACGCCACCUUUAUGAGCGGUAACACUCACCACGAAGGUCUGCAACUUCAUUGCUGAAGCCAGCGAGACCAAGAACCCACUGGGAGGGACUAACAACUCCAGACACGCUGCCUUUAAGAGCUGUAGCACUCACCGCAAAGGUCUGCAGCUUCAUUCCUGAAGUCAGCAAGACCACGAACCCACCAGAAGGAAGAAACUCCAGACACAUCUGAACAUCUGAAGGAACAAACUCCAGAAACGCCAUCUUUAAGAACUGUAACACUCACCGCGAGGGUCUGCCGCUUCAUUCUUUAAGUCAGCGAGACCAAGAACCCACCAAUUGACACAGCAGCUUUUUUUUUGUUUUUUUUUCGAGAUGGAGUCUCACUUUGUCGCCCAGGCUGGAGUGCAGUGGCAUGAUCUUGGCUCACUGCAAGCUCCGCCUCUGAGGUUCAGGCCAUUCUCCUGCCUCAGUCUCCCGAAUAGCUGGGACCACAGGCGCCUGCCACGACGCCUGGCUAAGUUUUUGUGUUUUUAAUAGAGACGGGGUUUCACCGUGUUAGCCAGGAUUGUCUCUAUCUCCUAACCUCGUGAUCUGCCCGCCUCGGCCUCCCACAGUGCUGGGAUUACAGGCAUGAGCCACCGCGCCAGGCUACAGCAGCAUCUUGAUGACCAUAUGAUACAGCUGUUUCAUGCUUUUUGAGAUGGAGUAUCGCUCUGUCACCAGGCUGGAGUAUAAUGGCGCGAUCUCGACUCACUGCAACCUCCGUGUCCUGGGUUAAAGCGAUUUUCCUGCCUCAGCCUCCCAAGUAACUGGGACUACAGGACUGGUGAAAGAAGGAAAAAAAAAGAUUAUAAGAAGAGAGAGGCCUGAGCUAACAUACUCAUUCCCCUCUCCAUGUGAUGCCCUGCG